UUCAUGGUCGACAGGAAGACAACGCGAGGGUUAACCGUGACUCAUCCCUCGCUCCUUUUAAGUGCUAACACGGAUAUAAAAGAAGUGAUCCCGAACGAGGAGAAGAUUCCACCAGGGGGCAUUAUUCAAGUGUUUGCCAAUCGGUUCAAGCACGCUCGAGGAAGCCGUCUCCUCUUUGAGAGGCGGAUACGUCCUUGAAUUGAAGACACUACACAUUCCUCUGAUGAGGGAAGUACCGGGUGUCUCACUCGAUUGGGUCUCGAGCCGCGGUUGCUUAAUCAUCCCCCGUCGUCGGCGCUGACCUUCCUGUAACAUGCUCGAGAGGCCCGCGGCCACACUGACCCUCCCUCGAGCGGAGAGGAGAGAGAGAGAGUGAGAAAAGCAUCUCCCCGAGGUUUCGGCACAAUACAACAACCUCCACCGGGCCUGUGGAGGGAGGGUCUUCUCCAGCAGGCAGCUAAUGAAGGCUGAGAGGACCUGUGGCGGCUCGGUAAUUGAACCUCGGGGACAUUCUCUCACUCUACAUCAGCAUUCUGCUCCCCUGAAGAUACCGGCAGCAUCACACUGCUGCUGCUGAGGGCUCUUUAAUGUGCAGGGACAAAGGCACCGUGGUGUUUCUGGGACGAGAGGUGAAGAAAGUUAGGCCAGUGGUCAUGAGCUUCAACUGUGAGACAAAUUCUGGUCGGUUUACCUUUUGGUCGCAUUUCUGUUUUAUACUUUGGAGGAAAAAUAAUGCCGACCAGAUGGAGUUAUUUAUUUUUUAAACAAAAUAUCCAAUAUGGCAAUGCAAUAUUCAAUUGUCUCUAUCUGUUGGCAUUUAUGUCCCAUUCAUGCAUGUUACUAACUUGGCAUUUUCUCCGGAGUCCUUAAGCUUUCUUGCCUCGCAGAUGUCCUUGGAUUGUGGUGGCACCUGGAUUGUGGUUGCAGCUGCUGCCGUGGUCCUGCUUGACACCCGGCACUGCUUCUACUAAUAUUACUAGUCAUUGUUCUAUUAUUCUAUUCUUUAUCUUUACUGUUCCUAUAAUUGCCACUGGUCAUCAUGCCAUUCCGUUAUACCCACUGCUAUCAUUAUUAUGUACUGUAUAUAGCUUUCUCUUUCUCUCCCUAUCCCCAACCGGUUGCAUCCGAUGGCCGCCCACCAAGAGCCAGAUUCUUUCCAAGGUUUAUGUCUGUCUGCCAAUUACAGUGUUACUUUUCGUAGAUAUAUGUUUAAAUGAUUCAUGAAAACAACCUGCUAUAAAUCACCGAAGAUUAGAACACCAAACAAACGCAGGCAAAAGACACUUUGUUCAUUCAGAUAUUAGAGAUAUAGAGACAGCACAAGAACACGCUAACAAGUAGCUCGUCAUCUUAACACCUGACUUCGGGGACCGAAGCGGGAAAAGUUACAUAGUGUUGCUUUAAGUCACACAAACAAAAUGGAUUUAGGGGACUUGAUGCUUUAUCUUCAAGUAGUUAAAGACAGUUGAGUCCGAUAUUUAUUCAUGUGUUCACCAUUAAUGUUUCUGAUGAUUAUCUGGUCCUGAUCAGAGGGUAGAACCUGCAGAGCUUAGCCCAGUAAAACAUAUAUGUGCUCUUUCCACCGCUACAGUAUCACAUUAUCGCACCACAGACCACAUUUUUCUUAAAUUACACUCGGUCAACUUCCUCUUCUCUGUUGCUGACCAAGACCUGUUUUUACUGUUACCCUCACUGUGAAUCACUAUAGAUAAAACAGCCAAAUGCAUCAAACUUAAAAAUGCUAAAAGUAUUUUUUAUUCUUUUGACAUCUUAAAAGGAUUCAGAGAGAAUCAAAGCUAAUAUCACACAUGAAUUUGACUUUUAACAGAGGAGUAAUGAAGUCAGUAUGAGGAAGUGGCCGCAGGAAGUAGAUGCUAUAUUAAUUUUUAAGACGCAGCGCAUCAGACAGUUUGACAUUUGAGAGAGUGAGACAGAGAGAGAAGCACAAUGGAUCAGAACAGAUGGAUUAUAAUGUCUUCAUUUCUGAUGCUGCUGGUUCAGUUUAGAGGUAGGAGAAUACAAGUUUUAUUGUAACAUACUGAGUUUAGUGAACUCUUGGAAAUCAAACAUGAGACAUUUUCAAACGUAUAUAAAAUGAUCAUCACACGUAACAUUCAUAUUUAUAAUUCAUAUUUGUCUUUUCUCAACAGCAGCAGCUUGGAAGUUUCACUCCACUGUAAGAGUUGGAGAUGAAGUCACUUUGUCUUGUGGAAAUGUUACAGCUGAUCAGGAUCAUUGUAUCAAUACUGCCUGGAUGUUUGAUGACAGAGAGGUGCUGUUUAGACACGGUAAGAUUUAUAAAGAAGCCAAAACUAAAUCAGACAGACUGAGUGUUACAGAGAACUGUUCUCUGGUUAUAAAGAAGGUCACAGAUGAGGAUGUUGGUCGUUAUAGUUGCAUACAGUUCAUAGCAGGACAUUAUUACACUAUGGUUAUUCUGACUGUUGUUACCAUGACUGAACAGAAGAACAAUGAUACGGUCACCUUGAUCUGCUGUGUCGAGAAAGCAUGCGUGUUACCACACAGUGGAGUGGCUGUAUGAGGGUGAUAAGACUGACGUGAAGACAACACAGCAUGACUGCUCAGCCAAUGUGACGUUUACAACAUCUCAUCUUCAUCAGAAGUCAAAGUAUUACAAGUUAUUGAAAUGUGAAGUGACAAAUACUCACAAUGGAGAAGGGCAGCUGUUCACCUUCAUCCCUCCUCAGUCCUCCGGUGAGAAACCAGGUGAUGAUGCAACAACUACAAUAUCUCCGACAACAAAUAAAUCACCAAUGACAACAGGAAAUAAAUGGACAUCAGAAGAGUCAAACAACACGGCAUCUGAAAACAACAAUCAAACUAAACCAGAACACAACAGAACUACAUUUACAGUUUACAGAAAAGACAUGCAGGCAAAAGACACUUUGUUCAUUCAGAUAUUAGAGAUACUAGUACUGUGCCCGUUGAAAAUGUGCGGGCCGAUUGCUUAGCUUGUGGUACAGCUGCUUGAAGCUUUCUCCAGAACCAAAUUGUACCCCAAAAUUACUUACUGAAGGACCCCAAACCACUUAAUUUGCAAUUCCACGGCCUACUACGGACUUACAGUAUACUUCUACAUCAAGAUUAGAGGCUUGACGGUUAACGUUGAGGAAUGGAUUUGAUUUGCGGGGGUAUUUUGCCGAGGGUAAUGUUAUUAGUAUUAUAACUUGAUGAUACAGAAGACAAACCAUUUUGUGGAUUGAUGCAUCAUCAUGUGAUAUUUGCAACGAUGUGACUCAAAAACAGUGUCUGGUAGCCUGCCUAUAAGUGGCAUCACGCUCUGUCUGCCACUUGUCUGUAGCUGGUUGUGCUUUGCACAAUUACACUAAAUAUUUGUUUGGAUCUGAUGUUUUAAUGUUUCAUCAUUCUUUGUUUUGUUUAGUGCAGACGUUUUUUCUCACUGAACAGUGUGUUAUUGUGUUUAAGGUGAUGAUGCAACAACUACAAUAUCUCAGACUACAAAUAAAUCACCAAUGAAAACAGGAAAUAAACGGACAUCAGAAGAGACAAACAACACGAAAUCUGAAAACAACAAUCAAACUAACCCAGAAGGUAGUGACUGAACACAACAGAACUACAUUUACAGUCAGAAAAGACAUGCAGGCAAAAGACACUUUGUUCAUUCAGAUAUUAGAGAUAUAGAGACAGCACAAGAACACGCUAACAAGUGCUAAAGUAUCCGGUUGCUUCUUCUGCUUUAGGGAGUUUAAUUGUGUAGGACCGCCAGAGGAUAAC